CAUGCAAGUCGAGGGGAAACGACAUCGAAAGCUUGCUUUUGAUGGGCGUCGAUCGGCGCACGGGUGAGUAACGCGUAUCCAACCUGCCCACCACUUGGGGAUAACCUUGCGAAAGUAAGACUAAUACCCAAUGAUAUCUCUAGAAGACAUCUGAAAGAGAUUAAAGAUUUAUCGGUGAUGGAUGGGGAUGCGUCUGGUUAGCUUGUUGGCGGGGUAACGGCCCACCAAGGCGACGAUCAGUAGGGGUUCUGAGAGGAAGGUCCCCCACAUUGGAACUGAGACACGGUCCAAACUCCUACGGGAGGCAGCAGUGAGGAAUAUUGGUCAAUGGACGAGAGUCUGAACCAGCCAAGUAGCGUGCAGGAUGACGGCCCUAUGGGUUGUAAACUGCUUUUAUAAGGGAAUAAAGUGAGUCUCGUGAGACUUUUUGCAUGUACCUUAUGAAUAAGGACCGGCUAAUUCCGUGCCAGCAGCCGCGGUAAUACGGAAGGUCCGGGCGUUAUCCGGAUUUAUUGGGUUUAAAGGGAGCGUAGGCCGGAGAUUAAGCGUGUUGUGAAAUGUAGAUGCUCAACAUCUGCACUGCAGCGCGAACUGGUUUCCUUGAGUACGCACAAAGUGGGCGGAAUUCGUGGUGUAGCGGUGAAAUGCUUAGAUAUCACGAAGAACUCCGAUUGCGAAGGCAGCUCACUGGAGCGCAACUGACGCUGAAGCUCGAAAGUGCGGGUAUCGAACAGGAUUAGAUACCCUGGUAGUCCGCACGGUAAACGAUGGAUGCCCGCUGUUGGUCUGAAUAGGUCAGCGGCCAAGCGAAAGCAUUAAGCAUCCCACCUGGGGAGUACGCCGGCAACGGUGAAACUCAAAGGAAUUGACGGGGGCCCGCACAAGCGGAGGAACAUGUGGUUUAAUUCGAUGAUACGCGAGG
rnacentral:rRNA from 1 species